AUUUUCAAGGCCAAAUAAAUCUAAUUGAUCGUAUCUCCGCCGCCAUUGGAGUUGCGAUGACAUUUCGAUGCGCGUUAUACUCCACAUUUCAUUCUUUAUACAGGGCACAUCGUUCGGAUUGCCCUAUGUUAACUGUCUUCCCUGUCAAAUCCAGUGCAAUUAUAGUUUUAAAAUUUUCAAGGUCAAGUAAAUCAAUUUGAACGUAUCUCCGCUGCUAUUGCGGUUACGAAGACAAUUCGGUGCGCGUUUUACUCCACAUUUGAUUCUUUAUACAGGGCACAUCGUUCGGUUUGUCCUAUGUUAACGCUCUUGCCUGUCAAUUAUAGUGCAAUUAUAGUUUUUAAAUUUUCAAGGCCAAAUAAAUCUAACAGAACGUAUCUCCGCUGCAAUUAGGGUUACGAAGACAAUUCGGAGCGCGUUAUACUCCACAUUUCGUUCUUUGUACAGGGCACAUCGUUCGGUUUACCCUAUGUUAACGCCCUUGCCUGUCAAAUCCAAUGCGAUUAUAGAUUUUCAAUUUUCAAGGCCAAAUAAAUCUAAUGGAACGUAUCUCCGCUGCUAUUGUGGUUACGAAGACAAUUCGGAGCGCGUUAUACUCCACAUUUCAUUCUUCAUACAGGGCACAUCGUUCGGUUUGUCCUAUGUUAACCCUCUUGCCUGUCAAAUCCAAUAGAAUUAUAGUUUUUCAAUUUUCAAAGCCAAAUAAAUCUAAUUGAACGUAUCUCCGCUGCUAUUGGGGUUAUGAAUCCAAUUCGAUAAAUCUAAUUCAACUUAUCUCCGCUGCUAUUGGGGUUACGAAGACAAUACGGACCGCAUUUUACUCCACAUUCGAUUCUUUAUACAAGGCACAUCGUUCGGUUGCCUUAUGUCAACACUCUACCCUGUUAAUUCCAGUGCAAUUAUAGUUUUAAGAUUUUCAAGGUCAAGUAAAUCUAUUUGAAC